UACGCCCUUUUAAGAAAUAUAUUGACAUGUAUGGCCUUAAUUCUUCCACGUAUACAGUAUGUAAGCCCUGACAUGUGGUGAGGCUAAGCUGUUGCUCUGGCUUCACCGAGCAGCAGUUUCACACAUUAGUUUAACAUUUAGGUGACUGAUUGAUUGGAGUUGAGUGGUAGUGUGUUUUAAACUCCUGAGACAGUGAAUAACCUGAUAACCAACACACUGUUAACCAACACAAUGAUAACCAACAAUGAUAACCAACACACUGUCAUCUAUAGGUCUGUUCAUCAACACACUGUCAUCUAUAGGUCUGUUCAUCAACACACUGUCAUCUAUAGGUCUGUUCAUCAACACACUGUCAUCUAUAGGUCUGUUCAUCAACACACUGUCAUCUAUAGGUCUGUUCAUCAACACACUGUCAUCUAUAGGUCUGUUCAUCAACACACUGUCAUCUAUAGGUCUGUUCAUCAACACACUGUCAUCUAUAGGUCUGUUCAUCAACACACUGUCAUCUAUAGGUCUGUUCAUCAACACACUGUCAUCUAUAGGUCUGUUCAUCAACACACUGUCAUCUAUAGGUCUGUUCAUCAACACACUGGAGAUACUGUUUGGCCUCUGUGUCUGUUUGUAUCUAUGGUCCAACAGCUCUGAGAAAGGCAGCAUAGAUGCACGAUAAGGCAGAUCCGUACGAAACACACACACACACACACACACACACACACACACACACACACACACACACACACACACACACACACACACACACACACACACACACACACACACACA